rnacentral:rRNA from 1 species
GACGAACGCUGGCGGCGUGCUUAACACAUGCAAGUCGAGCGGAAAGGCCACUUCGGUGGUACUCGAGCGGCGAACGGGUGAGUAACACGUGAGUAAUCUGCCCCUGGCUUUGGGAUAGCCACCGGAAACGGUGAUUAAUACCGGAUAUGACCACUUCACGCAUGUGAUGGUGGUGGAAAGUUUUUCGGCCAGGGAUGUGCUCGCGGCCUAUCAGCUUGAUGGUGAGGUAAUGGCUCACCAUGGCUUCGACGGGUAGCCGGCCUGAGAGGGUGACCGGUCACGCUGGGACUGAGACACGGCCCAGACUCCUACGGGAGGCAGCAGUGGGGAAUAUUGGACAAUGGGCGGAAGCCUGAUCCAGCAACGCCGCGUGAGGGAUGACGGCCUUCGGGUUGUAAACCUCUUUCGCCUAUGACGAAGCGCAAGUGACGGUAAUAGGUAAAGAAGCACCGGCCAACUACGUGCCAGCCGCCGCCGUAAGAC